rnacentral:rRNA from 1 species
UACGUAGGGGGCUAGCGUUGUCCGGGUUUAUUGGGCGUAAAGAGCGUGUAGGCGGCCAGGUAGGUCCGGUGUGAAAACUCGAGGCUUAACCUCGAGAUGUCAUCGGAAACCAUCUGGCUAGAGUCCGGAAGAGGAAAGUGGAAUUCCUGGUGUAGCGGUGAAAUGCGCAGAUAUCAGGAGGAACACCAAUUGCGAAGGCAGCUCGCUGGGACGUUACUGACGCUGAGACGCGAAAGCGUGGGGAGCAAACAGG